UUUUUAUAGGUGCGGGAAUGCAAGUCGAGCGCGGUUCGUAGCUUCGGUUACGAAUCUAGCGGCGCACGGGUGAGUAACACGUGAGCAACCUACCGUCGAGUUCGGGAUAGCCCUGGGAAACCAGGAUUAAUACCGGAUGUGGUUGUGAUGCGGCAUCGCAUUACAAGUAAAGGGGCAACCCGCUCAAUGAUGGGCUCGCGGCUUAUUAGUUUGUUGGUGGGGUAACGGCCUACCAAGGCGAUGAUGAGUAGGUGAUCUGAGAGGAUGAUCACCCACACUGGGACUGAGACACGGCCCAGACUCCUACGGGAGGCAGCAGUUAGGAAUUUUCCGCAAUGGGCGCAAGCCUGACGGAGCAACGCCGCGUGAGCGAUGAAGGCCUUCGGGUUGUAAAGCUCUGUCGGAUGGGAAGAAAACUGACGGUACCAUCCAAGAAAGCCCCGGCUAACUACGUGCCAGCAGCCGCGGUAAUACGUAGGGGGCAAGCGUUAUCCGGAUUUACUGGGCGUAAAGCGCGUUAAGGCGGCUGUGUAAGUUAGUGGUGAAAUUCCAAAGCUCAACUUUGGAACUGCCGCUAAUACUGCGCGGCUGGAGUGUGAGAGAGGAAAGUGGAAUUCCCGGUGUAGUAGUGAAAUGCGUAGAUAUCGGGAGGAACACCAGUGGCGAAGGCGGCUUUCUGGCUCACAACUGACGCUGUAGCGCGAAAGCGUG
rnacentral:rRNA from 1 species